rnacentral:rRNA from 1 species
CUCCCGUCCGCCCCGACCGACUGACGGACUGCUCCUCUCUCUCUCUCUCUCUCUCUCUCUCUCUCUCUCUCUCUCUCUCUCUCUCACCUUGCCUCGCCAGUCCACUACCAACCACGCUGACAACUCCCCUUCUCCUGCCGCCACCACCUUCCAAUUCCAUCUCCAAAUCCCCUCCCUUCCUUCCCCAUACAUUCCCUCCCCACACUGCAAUUGCUUCGUCCUCUUCCUCCUCCCGCUGCUGCGCUGGAUCCCAGGUGCUUGAUGAUCACAAGAUGUCAUCAAAUUCCACGCUCACAGAAUCACUUCAUGAGAAAACAAUCGUCUUUGGGCUUAAACUUUGGGUUGUGAUUGGGAUCGCUGUUGGAGCAUCCCUCCUGGGUAUUCUUCUUAUCCUUGUGAUAUGCCUAACCAUCCAAACCUGGAUCAGACGGUCACGAAAGGCAUUCAAGGAGCUUCCCAUGACCCAGAUACCUUCUGCAUUCAAGGACAUCACAGAAGUCAGGGUGGCUGACCAAUUUUCACCCAAUGAUUAUGUUGUACAUGAUGGGCUUCUACUCGCCAUUGAGAAUGGGCCUGUUGAAUCAAUGGAUAAAGAUGCAGUUCAAUUGGUGCAGGAGGACAAUUCGAGGCAUAGAGAAGAGAACAAUCUUUCAGGUUCUUUAGUUCACACUGAUGGCUGUGAUGGAAUUCAAUCUGUUUCUGUCUGUGAACAGCCUUCCGUACAUGCUACUGCCGAUUCUGCGCCAUUGGACGGCCUACCUGAGUUUUCUUACCUUGGUUGGGGCCAUUGGUUCACUCUCAGAGAUCUAGAUGUUGCAACCGACCAUUUUGCAAAGGACAACGUAAUUGGUGAGGGUGGAUAUGGUGUUGUGUACCGUGGCAGAUUAUCAAAUGGCACCCCAGUCGCUGUCAAGAAAAUCCUUAACAAUUUAGGGCAGGCCGAGCGGGAAUUCAGAGUGGAAGUUGAGGCAAUUGGUAAUGUUCGCCACAAGAAUUUGGUCCGGCUUUUGGGAUAUUGUGUUGAGGGUACCCAGAGGAUGCUUGUAUACGAGUUUGUUAACAACGGGAAUCUUGAAAGUUGGCUCCACGGAGAAUUGUCCCAGUACAGCUCUCUCACUUGGUUAGCUCGCAUGAAAGUUCUUCUGGGGACUGCAAAGGCCCUUGCAUACUUACAUGAGGCACUUGAACCAAAGGUUGUGCAUCGUGACAUCAAGGCCAGCAAUAUCUUGAUCGACGAUGAGUUUAAUGCCAAAAUAUCUGACUUUGGUUUGGCCAAGAUGCUUGGUGCUGGUAAAAGUCAUAUUGCUACUCGAGUUAUGGGUACCUUUGGCUAUGUUGCGCCUGAGUAUGCUAACAGUGGGCUUUUGAAUGAGAAGAGUGAUGUCUACAGCUUUGGGGUUCUUUUAUUGGAAGUUAUUACAGGUAGAGAUCCAAUUGACUAUGAUCGCCCCCCAAGUGAGGUAAACCUAGUCGAUUGGCUUAAAUUGAUGGUCGCCAACAGACGGUCUGACGAAGUGGUGGAUCCACACCUUGAGAGAAGACCAUCGACAAAGGAACUCAAACGUGCCCUUUUGACAGCUCUGCGGUGUAUCGAUCUGAAUGCUGAAAAGAGACCAAGGAUGGAUCAGGUCGUCCGGAUGUUGGAUUCUAGCGAAACCAUACCUCAAGAGGAACGAAGACCACGACAGAACCGGAUCUCUGAGAAUACUGAAACCGUGCCAUUGAGGGGCAAGAACAGCAUCGAGAAGAGUGAUGCCCCUGAGCAUGAGGAGAGGCCCCCUCGGCCAAAGAGUCGUCCAUUUUCGUCCAAAUGAGGUAAAGAAAGAAGGAAACCCUAAACAUCUUUUGGAGAUAUAAAGAUAGAGAGAGAUACCAGCGCGCGGAAGAACAUGGUGGAGAAUUCUUCUGAAUACGUAACAGAUUGAUCGAUUUUUAUUUUUCACCCCUCGGAGCGGGGAUUUUUGCAUUUGUUGAUACAUGGAAUGGAAUGUACAGUGGUGUGUAUGACGGCUCAAGGAUGUACAGAACUAGCUUGUAAAACGGUCUGAAAGGCUCUCAGCUGGUGUGGUUGCUGCGCGUUCGCCUCCGCAUUGCCUGCCAACUCCACCUCCAUGGCGCUAGCCGGCGCCGCCAACGCCACCUUCCGGCCCCGCCUGGUCACCGCCGCCGCUGACACCUCCGACACUAAUACUCGCCGCCGACACUGGAAGGCCGGCGAGUUCCCAUUCCCCACCACCUCCCCCUCCUCCGGCACGCAGCAGCGCCGGAGACCCCGGACCACGGAGCGCCCGCCCCCACCUCCACCGUCCAAGGGGGAAGACCCGGAGGGGAGAGGGCGCCAGAGGCACUGGAAGGCGGGGGAGGACCCGGAGGGGGGAGGGCGCCAGAGGCACUGGAGGGCGGGGGAGUUCCCGGCGGCGGCCGAGUCCCAAUCCCAGUCCGGGAGGAGGGGCCGCGCUCGCACCCCUAUCAAGAACGUCCAGAAGAGGCUCGACGCGCGCGCCGAUGCCAAGGCCUGGGCCUGCACAGUCACCGAGGCCCUCGCCGACCGCAUCGCCGCCAAGAACUGGCGGGAGGCGCUUCAGGUCUUCGAGAUGCUCAAGGAGCAAACUUUCUACUAUCCCAAAGAGGGCACCUACAUGAAACUCCUCCUGUUGCUGGGGAGAUCAGGCCAGCCUUCUCUAGCACAAGACCUUUUCACCGAGAUGCAGCAGCAAGGAUGCCAGCCAACUCCCGAGCUUUACACGGCCUUGAUCGGGGCCUACUGCCGGAACGGCCUCCUAGACGAGGCACUCAAGCUUCUCGAAGACAUGAAGGCCGCCCCGCUGUGCCAGCCUGAUGUCUACACUUAUAGCAUCCUCAUCAAGGCCUUCGUCGACGCCUCAAGGUUCGACCUCGUCGAUGCUAUGUACAAAGAGAUGGCUGAGCGCUCCGUGACACCCAACACGGUCACGCAGAACAUUGUUCUCAGUGGCUACUGCAGAGCAGGAAGGCUGGACGAUAUGGAGAAGCUACUCUCUGCGAUGCUCGAAAGUGCAAAUUGUAAACCGGAUGUCUGGACCAUGAACAUUAUCCUAAGCCUGUUUGGGAACAGUGGCCAGGUUGAGCUGAUGGAGAAGUGGUACGAGAAAUUCCGAGGCUAUGGGAUCGAGCCAGAGACUCGGACGUUCAACAUUCUCAUUGGUGCUUACGGGAAGAAGCGGAUGUAUGACAAGAUGUCUGCGGUGAUGGAAUACAUGCGCAGGCUAGCAUUUCCAUGGACGACUGCUACAUACAACAAUGUGAUCGAGGCAUUUGCUGUGGCAGGUGAUGCCAAAAACAUGGAGGACACAUUUAACCAGAUGCGCUCAGAGGGGAUGAAGCCAGAUACAAAGACCUUCUGUUGUCUAAUAAACGGGUUCAGCAAUGCAGCCCUUUUCCACAAGGUGGUAGGCAUGGUAAAGCUUGCUGAGAGGCUCGAUGUACCGGCGAAUACGUCUUUCCACAACUCUGUUCUUGCGGCAUGUGCGAAAGCGGAGGAUCUGAUGGAAAUGGAGAGGGUCUUCAGGCACAUGAAGCAUAUGCAGUGUGAAGCAGAUGCCAUCACAUACUCCAUCUUGUUGGAAGCUUAUCGGAAGGAAGGAAUGACCGACAAGAUGUAUGCUCUGCAACAGGAGAACCCAAGUUUGGUUUCGACUGAGCUUGUCAUGGUGUAACUAACCUCAUAAAUUGAUUAUGGUGUUGAGUUCAUCUGACUGAAAUGAAAAAUCCGUUCCUCUUCAUGUCUGGAAUUAAUAGUGCAACCUAGCAAAUUAACUACUGCCAGAAUUGUUUUAUUUCUGUUGACCUACAAGAUUAGUAUGUAUGAUAACUGUAUUGCUGUAAGGACAGAGAAGCUUCAUUAUAUCAACUCUCAAGUGAUAUGCCACUAUUUAGUACCUCCUUUGUUCCAAAUAAGUGACGUGCUUUAGUUCAAAUUGUUUGAACUAAAUCAUGACAGUUAUUAUGGAAUGGAGGGAGUAUACAUUUUGAUCCUAG